rnacentral:rRNA from 1 species
UACAGAGGCCUCAAGCGUUGUUCGGAAUUACUGGGCGUAAAGGGUACGUAGGUGGUUUGGCAAGUCAGAUGUGAAAGCCCUGGGCUUAACCCAGGAAGUGCAUUUGAUACUGCUUAACUAGAGUGCGAAACAGGAAAGUGGAAUUCCCGGUGUAGGGGUGAAAUCCGUAGAUAUCGGGAGGAAUACCAAUGGAGAAGUCAGCUUUCUGGUUCGUAACUGACGCUGAGGUACGAAAGCGUGGGGAUCACACAGG